UCUUUGUUCGGUCAACAAAGCCGAGUUGAAGACCACCGAGCGAAGCUGCUUCUCCUCUUUGCCGCGCCAAUUGAAGCCAGCAAAGCCUGCAGCAGUCAAUCCGCCCAUUUCUCCUCUUGCGUGUGUCUUCGGUCAGCUGAAGUCCAUGCCCCCAGCCACCGAGUCAAGCGAAGUCGCACGCCAGCGAAGCCCGUAAUUUCCAGCGUCUUCGGCCCAUUCUAACUGCAGCCCAACAUUAGUUCAGUCCGUCGCUUCAGUCCGCGUGAAUUUUGGGCCCAUCUUCAAAUUAGAAAAGCCCAAGUAACAGCUUAGCCCAGGAGUUGAUCAAUUUGCGGCUCGGGUCCGCAACUGCAGCCCAUCUUCUGUUUUCAGCCCACAAGACCAAGAGGCCCAGCAACC
rnacentral:lncRNA from 1 species